GGCCAAGAGGGAUGAUUUGAGAGCUACCUAAUUUGAGGGUCGUAGGGGUUCUGCUGGAGCUACAUUUUUUUUUUUGUCUAAGUCCUGAAAUUUUAGUUUGGGGGCAGAUUAAAUAGGGUGGGUCCCUGCUAAAGAUGCUCUAAGAGGGACAAAUCACAUAGCGAGUCAUACAUCACUUGGAGGAAGGUUUUUAGACAUUCUCUCGUCCACGCAUGUGCUAGGGGG
rnacentral:lncRNA from 1 species